rfam:Brassica napus, WGS project CCCW01000000 data, contig: 17400
UUUGAGGGGAAUGUUGUCUGGCUCGAGGACUCUAGCUCUAUCUACUCAUGUUGGAUCCUCUUCGAUCUAAUCGAAUCAAACCUCUAUGUUUGAGAUCUGAUUAGGGUUUUAGUGUCGUCGGACCAGGCUUCAUUCCCCCCAAU